GCGAACGACUGGGCAGGAGGGGCGGGAAAGGGUAGGAGUCGAGGGGGUUCCUGAAUCAUGGGGCGUACAGGGCGCGCAGGCGGCCCGGCAAGGCGGGUGUGAAAUCCCGGGGCUCAACCCCUGGACGGCAUUCGAUACUGUCGGGCUAGAGGUAGGUAGGGGAGAUCGGAAUUCCGGGUGUAGCGGUGAAAUGCGCAGAUAUCAGGAGGAACACCGGUGGCGAAGGCGGAUCUCUGGGCCUUACCUGACGCUCAGGCGCGAAAGCUAGGGGAGCGAACAGGAUUAGAUACCCGGGUCGUC
rnacentral:rRNA from 1 species